rnacentral:rRNA from 1 species
UGUGCUAAUACCGCAUAAUCUCUCAGGAGAAAAGCAGGGGAUCGCAAGACCUUGCGCUUUAGGAGCGGCCGAUGCCUGAUUAGCUUGUUGGUAAGGUAAAAGCUUACCAAGGCUUCGAUCAGUAGCUGGUCUGAGAGGACGACCAGCCACACUGGGACUGAGACACGGCCCAGACUCCUACGGGAGGCAGCAGUGGGGAAUUUUGGACAAUGGGGGAAACCCUGAUCCAGCCAUGCCGCGUGAGUGAAGAAGGCCUUCGGGUUGUAAAGCUCUUUCAGCCGGAACGAACGGU